rfam:Modestobacter marinus str. BC501 chromosome, complete genome.
CCGGUGGGCACGCCGAACCGCUGAGGCAUCGCCGAGGCGGACCGGGGACCCACGUCCCUCGGGGUGAAUCCUGCACACGCAGGUAGGGCAGCUUCCCGUCCGAACCCGUCAGCUAACCCGGUAGGCAGUCAGGAAGAACGG